CCUACGGGGGGCUGCAGUGGGGAAUAUUGCACAAUGGGGGGAACCCUGAUGCAGCAACGCCGCGUGGGUGAAGAAGUACUCCGGUAUGUAAAGCCCUGUCAGCAGGGAAGAAAAUGACGGUACCUGACCAAGAAGCCCCGGCUAACUACGUGCCAGCAGCCGCGGUAAUACGUAGGGGGCAAGCGUUAUCCGGAUUUACUGGGUGUAAAGGGAGCGUAGACGGCAGGGCAAGUCUGGAGUGAAAGCCCGGGGCCCAACCACGGGACUGCUUUGGAAACUGUGUGGCUGGAGUGCAGGAGGGGUAAGCGGAAUUCCUAGUGUAGCGGGGAAAUGCGUAGAUAUUAGGAGGAACACCGGUGGCGAAGGCGGCUUACUGGACUGUAACUGACGUUGAGGCUCGAAAGCGUGGGGAGCAAACAGGAUUAGAUACCCCUGUAGUC
rnacentral:rRNA from 1 species